AUUGAACGCUGGCGGCAGGCCUAACACAUGCAAGUCGAACGGUAACAGGAAGCAGCUUGCUGUUUCGCUGACGAGUGGCGGACGGGUGAGUAAUGUCUGGGAAACUGCCUGAUGGAGGGGGAUAACUACUGGAAACGGUAGCUAAUACCGCAUAACGUCGCAAGACCAAAGAGGGGGACCUUCGGGCCUCUUGCCAUCGGAUGUGCCCAGAUGGGAUUAGCUAGUAGGUGGGGUAACGGCUCACCUAGGCGACGAUCCCUAGCUGGUCUGAGAGGAUGACCAGCCACACUGGAACUGAGACACGGUCCAGACUCCUACGGGAGGCAGCAGUGGGGAAUAUUGCACAAUGGGCGCAAGCCUGAUGCAGCCAUGCCGCGUGUAUGAAGAAGGCCUUCGGGUUGUAAAGUACUUUCAGCGGGGAGGAAGGGAGUAAAGUUAAUACCUUUACUCAUUGACGUUACCCGCAGAAGAAGCACCGGCUAACUCCGUG
rnacentral:rRNA from 1 species